UAACUGAGUGCCAUAUGUAUCGGCAACAACACAACAACCGUGCAGAAUCAUUGUAGUCAGAGAAGUCGAUGAGCAUAUUGCUUUCUCUGUUUUCAGAUAGUUUCCGAGCCCUCCUUCUCCAAGAUAAACUGAUAAAUAAAUCAUGUGCUGGCAGUGGUAUGAUAUUCAGGAGUGUCUCAUGGCUUAAUAGUCGUUCAGGCACGUGCAAUUUUUAAGAGUGAAGUCAGGAGAAUAACUUCUUCUGGGUUGAGGUUUCUACAGAUUGAUUCAUUGGAGGGAUGCUGGUGCAGUGGCCAUAUCUAUGGUAAGACGUAUGGGGUAAAAUUAGAAGUAGAUACCUUUUUGGUCUGCUGAAAUUUUACCCGUCUAAAGAAACUUGGUACGACAUACUAAGAUGAAAAAUUGUAUUCUUCAAUUUGAGACAUUUAAUAAUGAACUGAGAGGCUCUAGCAUGGACUACAAACUAAUCUCAGCUAUAUUUGGAUGCAGUGCAAGGAAUUCUUCUUCUUGCAGUUGCAGGACCAUGAGAUGUCGACGCUACACUAUGGACACACCAAUGUCCCAGCCAAGUCAGUGAUGCAGCCCCAACUCCUGAUUUCUUCAAGUUGAGGAAGUUGCGGCAGCCUGACUCCAUUCUGCCUAUUGCCGCCCUAUCCAAGUUGCUGCUAGGCAACUACUACUCCUGUUGGAUAGAUGAACCCUCUGACUAUCUAUUUUAUGUUAUUCCCUUUGUGUUAUCCAAUUGCUCUUGAUAAUUUAAUGAUUCAAUCAAAUUUCACUGCAAAUCAUACUGGAUCAGGCUUUUCUUCUUUCCAAUUUCACCGGUAGACGCGCAG